rnacentral:lncRNA from 1 species
CUUUCUGCUAAAUGUAAGAUACUGCAAUCCCCGUAGGGGAUUUUAGCAGGGUGGAAAUACAGCAUAUUAUGGAAAAAUGUAGGCAACAAAACAAAACAGA